rnacentral:lncRNA from 1 species
CUUUGAUGUGGUCUCAUUGGAGGGAUUCUGAAAACUGAAAUUUGGAUUGUUUCUAUGGUUCCUUGCACUGACUCCAUGGAGAGUGUAUCACCUGAUUUCUGUCAUGAUACUUGGGCGCGUUAUUAUGCAAAUAAUAAAGGAUAUGGUUUUGUCUAGAGCUAGAGGUGCACAGUUGUGGAGAAGCCUCAGUGAAAGAUCUGAUCUUCCUACAGUGAAGGAGUGACUCAUUCCCAUGUGUGUGUGCAAAUUUCCUGAAGGGAUUGGAACCAAAGGGCUUCAGCUUCUCAAUUUUUAAGAUCCUUUCUGCAAUAAUGGAGUUCGUGGUAAAAGUGAAUGCAUUACUUAGCCCUGGUCUGUAUCUACAGAAGGCCUGUGCCUCUGGGUGACAGGACAGAAGCAUGAAUCCCGAGCUCUGACUCAAGCCUCAUUAGCUCUGCCCCGUUAGGCAGGUACACUCUGUCCUCUCAAGUUUGAUCAAUUAUUGACUUCAUAAAUGACUCUGCUCAAUAAACAAGCAUAAUGAGGUAAUUGACUUGCUCCU